CAGUAGCCACGGUAAUACGUAGGUGGCAAGCGUUGUCCGGAAUUAUUGGGCGUAAAGGGCUCGCAGGCGGUUUCUUAAGUCUGAUGUGAAAGCCCCCGGCUCAACCGGGGAGGGUCAUUGGAAACUGGGAAACUUGAGUGCAGAAGAGGAGAGUGGAAUUCCACGUGUAGCGGUGAAAUGCGUAGGGAUGUGGAGGAACACCAGUGGCGAAGGCGACUCUCUGGUCUGUAACUGACGCUGAGGAGCGAAAGCGUGGGGAGCGAACAGGAUUAGAUACCCCGGUAGUCCCUGUCUCUUAUAC
rnacentral:rRNA from 1 species